rnacentral:rRNA from 1 species
UACGGAGGGGGCUAGCGUUGUUCGGAAUUACUGGGCGUAAAGCGCACGUAGGCGGCUUUGUAAGUUAGAGGUGAAAGCCCGGGGCUCAACUCCGGAAUUGCCUUUAAGACUGCAUCGCUUGAAUCCGGGAGAGGUGAGUGGAAUUCCGAGUGUAGAGGUGAAGUUCGUAGAUAUUCGGAAGAACACCAGUGGCGAAGGCGGCUCACUGGACCGGUAUUGACGCUGAGGUGCGAAAGCGUGGGGAGCAAACAGG